ensembl:lncRNA
AGUACUGCAUCCAGGCCAGUACAGGAAGGACAUGGAGCUCUUGGAGUGGGUCCAGAGGAGUGCCACUAAGAUGAUCAGAGGGGUGGAGCACCUCUCCUCCGAGGAAAGGGAAUCUCAGAAUUCUCGAUGUUGGAAGGUGUUUAUGGAGCUCAUCUGGCUAAACUCUGCACAAACAGGAUCACCCAGAGAAGGUUGCCCAGGUCCAUACCAGAGUCAUUUUUGAAGAUCUGUGAAGAGAGAGACUCCACAGGUUCUCUGGGCAAUCUAUGCCAGUGAUCAGUAUUCCAUACGGGUUAUAUCUGACAGAAUUCUUCUGAGCAGAUUACUGGGGACACCAAAGCCUUUUCUACUGAAGUCCAGGACAGUAAUCCUGCUUUUAGCUCUGUUCUCUCUGCAGGAUCCUGAGUUUCACCUGUAUUUAUUUCUUAUUUAUGCAUAGAGAAGUAUAUUUGAUAAAGAUUCUGUGACUUCAUAAGUAUAGAGACAUUAUAAGGCAUUGUUUUCUGUAAUGUUACUGCAGGAAAGAGUAUAUAAUAUAAAAAUGUAAUGCUGACUAAAUGUUUUGUAAUAUUCUUCAAUAGGUAUUGAAAAGCAAAUUGUCGCCUCCAGUUUUUAGCUACUGUAUUUAAAUAGUUUCUUUAUGCAAAUCCACUUGAAAUAUCAACUGGAAUAUUAUAUUGCAUUUACAAAGAACCUUUCAUUUCAUAGCUUUUCAGCUAUAGCAGAGUGAACAGUGAGUCUGCUUCACUGCUUUGAAUUCCAAUAUCGGAUGCCCCAAUUUGAAUUAGAAAUGUGGUAAACAUUUUGAAGUAGUAAUUUUACACAGAAAUGUUCAGUGAAAGGCUGUAAAAGAGAAUAAUUUAGUUGUGGUGUUGUUUUUUUGUUUGUUUGUUUGUAUGUUUAUUUGUUUUUGUCUUCAUUCUGUCAUUUGGACUUCAAAAGCAGAAUCCUAGAAUUUCUAUCAAUUUUUGAAAAUUAAGAAUGCUCAGAGUGGUAUGAUAAUGGAGGAAGAGAUUUGUGGAUCCAGUAGACUUAAUUAUUUCCUAUGUAAACAGCUUUGGUUAAAUGUUAUUCUGAAGCAAAAUGAUAUAAACAAAUAAUCAAUUUCACAUGAAUAUCUCUAUUUCAUAAGAAAGUUAAGAUUUGCUUUGCAUAUAGGAUAUGGUAAGACAGAUUCUGUAUAUUAUUAAAAAUAAUAAUAAUAAUAAUCUGGGACUUACACCACUGCUACAGAAUGCUUCCCCAAUAAUUUCUCACUCACAAUAUCAAGGAUUUUACAGGAACAAAAAAAGGGUGUUUUGUUCUCCUGUUCUUAAAACAACUAUAACUGUCAUGCCUUGGUCUUUGAUUGCAUGUUUUUGGUGGAACAUACAAUAACAGUAAUAUUUGUAAAGUACUAAGAAAAAUUAUGCAUGGUUAUUUAAAUAUCAUCUGAUAUUUUUCAACACAUAAAAUACAUAGUUUGGGGUCUGUAUAAUUCUACACAGAACUUCUUAACUUAAACAUUAAACUUUCUAGAUAUUUUAGCUCUAACAUGUAGAAAGAUAAGUUCCAGCUACUUUAAUUAGAAAGUGUCUUGCAAAAUUAGAAUAAGUUAAUUUAUAUGUAUAUAUGAGUGUGUGUGUGUGUGUAAGAUCCCAUGGUUCUCCAUAUUGUUUCAUCAUGAGAAUAAAAAAAAAACAAACCUGAAGGUAUGCAAUUAUUCUCAACAGGGAAGUCCUUGGAGGGACAUUGAAGUAAUAAACUAUUCAGACAGAAUAGUUAAAUGAAGAGAUGAGUAGGGAGAGGCAUUACUUUCCAGCUACAUCAGCUACAAUUCAAACUGUGUUGAUCCCUAUGUUGAUUUCAUUAAUUACUUAAUUGUAUUUACUCUUUGUCUAAUGUGCAAUAAAUAUUGAAGAGAUACUGUUAAUAUAUGAUCACAGUUAACACAGAUUCAAGAUCCAAAAUGGACUCCAUAUUUUAAAUGGUUUUGUACUUUGCAAAAUAGAUUAUUGUAAUAUUGACUUAUAUGGAUGAUGAAAUUGAGCAUCUUGCUCAGUCAUAGAUGAAAGUCCUUCUAGUCUCUUAGCAAUGGGAAAGAAAAAAAAAAAAAGAAGAGUUCUAAAAUGUUAUUAAAUUUCCUGUUGCUUACUAUAAGUAUUGAUUGAUACAUUAAUACUGAUAAAAUAAACAAAACAUACUAGAGGACUGAAAGACUUGCACUGAAUUUCUUUCACUGCUUUAAUCUCAGCUUGCAAUAGGAUUUUAUUUGACAUUCUUAAUAUGGGAAUGCACUGUUUCACUAUCUCAUAUUCCAAAGCAUUCUCUAUAGAUAUUCAAUGAAAUCCUUUCAAAACUGUAAUUAAAAUAAUAAAAUGAAUUUUAGAACCUU